rnacentral:lncRNA from 1 species
ACUCUUUUGAUGGCAGGAUCUUUUAAAUGUCUUUCAUUUUAUAUUUUAUAUUUAGGUUUAAUAAUUGAGGAAGUCUAUAUUUUUGGGGAGAAUAUUAAUUUGGUCUUAUUUUUUUCGAUGUAUCAACUAGGUCCUACUUUUAUGAAAAUUGUAACAAUUCGGCAUUUGCCGUUAAAUUGAGUCUAACGACAUUAGUACGUGAUUGACAUCGCACAUUGGACUUUUAUCACUCCUGUCACAUCAACAAUUUGGCCCCUAGCUACCAUGCGCCGCCACCGCCAUUCUCACCAACAGUCAUCCCCUCAACUUUCGCCGUGAACCUCCAUGGCCGCCGCAAGCCCUCUGUCACUCUCUUCCUUCAUCAAACGCAAGCUUCUUCAUCUGGCAAUCAUGGCAGUCCCACCAUCCAUCACCCUCGUCACUACAGCGUUGCCGCACUCGAAUUGCAAGCCGUCGUGACUUGUCUUCCAUUAUCACCAUCUUCGCAAGCUUUGCAACCAAUCAGAAUCGCAGCGAACAUCAACAAAAUCAAAACCAGAGAAUUGCAAUUCAGGAAAUCUCGCAAGCGCCACCCAAACGCAAUCACACCAUCAACAACGACGAGCUCCUCCUCCAUUCGCGAAACCCUUCGCGUCACCAUCGCCCUCGCACCAUACACGUCAGGUCGCCGUCACCUCGCAAGCUUCCUUGCUGCUACCAUCCAAGCUUCGUUCAUCAUCAAUGCGGACCUGCAAUUACCAAAUUCUAGAAACCCAGC